AUGCAGCUUGGUUACAGCAGGCAAGAACACCUGGAAUCCAGUCAAAGUGUUGUAGUACCUAAUUCUGUGAUCAGCCUUGGAACAGCCAGGGGCCAACACCAUCUUCAUUUGUGGCCACUGCACUGUGGUCACACAGUCACUCCUAACUGCUGCCAUUCUCUCCUUCUCUUUGUUCUCCCAACUUGCCUGUGGCCCCAGAAUCUUCUACACCCACUAUUGUCACAGAGGGAAGUGCCACAUCAGCUACUGAAAUCCCAGACACAACUUAUGAAGGCUUCACCUCCACUACAGAAGAAGAUGGGACUACAGAAAUCCCCACCUUGCCUCCAGAAGGUAAAGGGCAUCUGCACAAUGCAGCAUGUUAGAGAAGAUCUGCAUUUAUCUAUAUGGUUCUAAGUUUUGUUUGGUGGAGGGGAUCAAGGGACGUGCCAAAAAAAUGGGGCAAGACCACCAGCUCUCAGUGUAACCAGUGCAAGUGAAAUACAUUGAAUUUGCUUGGUGACAACCUGUUGGCUUUCUGCUGGUAGGCUGCCAGCAGCACCGUGAUGAGAGGCCACCUACCAACCACUGUCACUGCCAAAUUACAACUCUCAUUGCUAGUUUUGCUUCUCAUGUUCCUUUUGCUUUUCUUGUUACUGUGCGAGAAGCCUGAACUUUCUCUGAUGCUUGUAAUGCAAAGACAUGAAGACUCAUUUCUGAGCGAUGACCGUGAAUGAGGAUGGCAGGGAAUACAUAGAUUCCCUUUUCCACAAAGCUUGAAGCCAAUUCAGUGCACCAAUAACUGAAUUCAGCCAUGUUGUCUUACCUGAACGCUCUCAUGUUUCCUUAUUUCUUGCUUCUUGUCUCAGUCUGUGAAAACUCAGCAGAACCACCAACGCCACCCAUCACAACUACAGAAGACAGCGUGACCUCAACUCCAGGCAUCUUUCCCACAGUUCUUGAAUGUAAAAACAAGUUCUGUGUAAUAAGUUAUAAUAAGAAGAGUAUUUAAUUCUAUGAUUAAAUUAGAUUAUAAACUAAAUCAUAUCACCAAAUAUCAGCUCCGACUCUAGCAGUCCCUUUUAUACCCCUGUAUUUCUUCUUAACAUCCAGUUCAGGUGUUAUUGUCUAGUAACCUGUUUCCUCUCUGCAGAUCCCUUCUCUGUCCCCAGCACUGCAACUACACAGACAACAGAUGUUACAGAGAUCCUGGCCACCACUCUGGGAGGUGAGGCACUCCUCUGCUGAAGGUACUCCCAAAAACAACAAGGAUCACAUCCCUCACUGCCCUAACAAUGGCUGCUGCAUCUUUACCAAUGUCUACUGCAUCUCCAGCAGUAGAAGGCGGCAGUCAGAAAUAACACCGGGAUCUAGUGCCAUUAAAUGCUCAAUCAGGGUGGUUUACAGGCUCUUUUCA
rnacentral:lncRNA from 1 species